AUGAACGCUAGCGGCAGGCUUAACACAUGCAAGUCGAGGGGUAACGGGGAAGCUUGCUUCCGCCGACGACCGGCGCACGGGUGCGUAACGCGUAUACAAUCUACCUUGUACUGGGGUAUAGCCUUUAGAAAUGAAGAUUAACCCCCCAUAGUCUCUUAGAGUGGCAUCACUUCUAGAGUAAAGGUUACGGUAUAAGAUGAGUAUGCGUUCUAUUAGUUUGUUGGUGUGGUAACGGCACACCAAGACUACGAUAGAUAGGGGCCCUGAGAGGGGGAUCCCCCACACUGGUACUGAGACACGGACCAGACUCCUACGGGAGGCAGCAGUGAGGAAUAUUGGACAAUGGAGGCAACUCUGAUCCAGCCAUGCCGCGUGCAGGAAGACUGCCCUAUGGGUUGUAAACUGCUUUUAUACAGGAAGAAACACCUCUACGUGUAGAGGCUUGACGGUACUGUAAGAAUAAGGAUCGGCUAACUCCGUGCCAGCAGCCGCGGUAAUACGGAGGAUCCAAGCGUUAUCCGGAAUCAUUGGGUUUAAAGGGUCCGUAGGUGGAUAAUUAAGUCAGAGGUGAAAUCUUGCAGCUCAACUGUAAAAUUGCCUUUGAAACUGGUUAUCUUGAGUUAUUAUGAAGUAGUUAGAAUAUGUAGUGUAGCGGUGAAAUGCAUAGAUAUUACAUAGAAUACCAAUUGCGAAGGCAGAUUACUAAUAAUCAACUGACACUGAUGGACGAAAGCGUGGGUAGCGAACAGGAUUAGAUACCCUGGUAGUCCACGCCGUAAACGAUGGUUACUAGCUGUUUGGACUUCGGUCUGAGUGGCUAAGCGAAAGUGAUAAGUAACCCACCUGGGGAGUACGUUCGCAAGAAUGAAACUCAAAGGAAUUGACGGGGGCCCGCACAAGCGGUGGAGCAUGUGGUUUAAUUCGAUGAUACGCGAGGAACCUUACCAGGGCUUAAAUGUAAGUUGCAUUAGUUAGAGAUAGCUAUUUCUUCGGACCACUUACAAGGUGCUGCAUGGUUGUCGUCAGCUCGUGCCGUGAGGUGUCAGGUUAAGUCCUAUAACGAGCGCAACCCCUGUUGUUAGUUGCCAGCGAGUCAUGUCGGGAACUCUAACAAGACUGCCAGUGCAAACUGUGAGGAAGGUGGGGAUGACGUCAAAUCAUCACGGCCCUUACGUCCUGGGCUACACACGUGCUACAAUGGUAGGUACAGAGAGCAGCCACUGCGCGAGCAGGAGCGAAUCUAUAAAACCUAUCACAGUUCGGAUCGGAGUCUGCAACUCGACUCCGUGAAGCUGGAAUCGCUAGUAAUCGGAUAUCAGCCAUGAUCCGGUGAAUACGUUCCCGGGCCUUGCACACACCGCCC
rnacentral:rRNA from 1 species